rnacentral:rRNA from 1 species
AGUCGAGGGGCAUCGGGGAGCGAAGCUUGCUUUGCUCCGCCGGCGACCGGCGCACGGGUGAGUAACGCGUAUGCAACCUGCCCGUUUCAGCGGGAUAACCCGGAGAAAUCCGGCCUAAUACCGCAUGUGGCCGAGGGAAGGCAUCUUCUUUCGGCCAAAGGAGGCGACUCCGGAGACGGAUGGGCAUGCGUGACAUUAGCUUGUUGGCGGGGUAACGGCCCACCAAGGCGACGAUGUCUAGGGGUUCUGAGAGGAAGGUCCCCCACACUGGUACUGAGACACGGACCAGACUCCUACGGGAGGCAGCAGUGAGGAAUAUUGGUCAAUGGGCGAGAGCCUGAACCAGCCAAGUCGCGUGAAGGAUGACGGCCCUACGGGUUGUAAACUUCUUUUGUCAGGGAGCAAUUGGGUCCACGCGUGGGCUUAGCGAGAGUACCUGAAGAAAAAGCAUCGGCUAACUCCGUGCCAGCAGCCGCGGUAAUACGGAGGAUGCGAGCGUUAUCCGGAUUUAUUGGGUUUAAAGGGUGCGUAGGCGGAAUAUCAAGUCAGCGGUAAAAAUUCGGGGCUCAACCCCGUCGUGCCGUUGAAACUGAUGUUCUUGAGUGGGCGAGAAGUAUGCGGAAUGCGUGGUGUAGCGGUGAAAUGCAUAGAUAUCACGCAGAACUCCGAUUGCGAAGGCAGCAUACCGGCGCCCAACUGACGCUGAAGCACGAAAGCGUGGGUAUCGAACAGGAUUAGAUACCCUGGUAGUCCACGCAGUAAACGAUGAAUGCUAAUUGUCCGGAGGGAUUGACCUCUGGGUGAUACAGCGAAAGCGUUAAGCAUUCCACCUGGGGAGUACGCCGGCAACGGUGAAACUCAAAGGAAUUGACGGGG